CGAUUGGGCUGCUAAGGCAAAGAAGCGUUUCUAACUUGUAGUAUCAGAGACAGCAAGCUUUGAAGGGGUUGGGACGAUGUGGUGAUCUUUGUGUGACCUCACGAAGCACAUGAAACCCACGUUCUGUGUCUUGUGCAUCUUCUUCCAAGUGGAAUUUCUCCCGCAUGUUGGCUUCCUGGACCAAUUCCUGAGCCAGCUGCUGCCAAGGAGGAGGAGGACCAGGAUCUGCAGAAGCUGUUCCAACUGCCCUCAGUUGUUCUUCGGGAGGAUCUGCUCUAUACAUAGGUGGAGAUUGGUGUAUCUGGAGAAGAGACAAAGAAAACGGCAGUGUCGAGAAACCCAGCUAAUUCUGUCUCAGCUGCAGUCCACCUGCACCCUCUGCCUGCUGCCCACUGC